ensembl:lncRNA
UAUCGAUGCCUGCAUAAAUCUUGUAGGAAACUUUAUCACCACUCCUUUCCCAUUUACUCCUGUCUUCAAAUUCUCCCUUACACGUCACCUUCCUUUUUUUUUCUCCCUUACCUUCUACAUCUUUUCCUUGGCAGCUGCCAGGAGCACUCAGCAUAAUCCCAUCAAGAACAACUCCAAGUGCUGUCAGCAAGCAGUCAGCAGGACACCUGAGCUGUGCAAGGAUGCUUGGAGCAGCAUAGAGGCAUGUAAAGAUGCUGGAUUAAAUCACAGCACUUCUCUGUGAUGCAUUCAGCAUCUGUUCUUGCAUCCUCAUGAGACCAGCUCUGUUACACUAAUCCUGCAUUUGGAGAAGGAAUUUUGGGGUGCGCUUUGUCCUACACCACGACUAAAGCUCAGGGAACAAUGAUCAGAACCAACACGAUGGAUAAAAGAAGAGGGAAAUGCUACCAUUACCAACAGGCAGAAUAUGAGCAACUGGUCUUGGAGACGCCACUGAGUGCUACCUAUAGAGUCUGGCAGAUGGCCCAAGCUUUCUGAAGCGUGUCCUG